CUCCUCUUGAAUAAUUGUAGGAGGCAUAGGGCGUGAAAGUGCAUGUCUUGUGUGCUCACAAUUUGGAAUAACAAGCUUACAGGAGGGCUGUUUUUGUGUUUGGCCAAGGCCCCUGUGGUGACUGAUGUUGUGUGCCAGCUCUGAAGAAGGUGAAAAGGAUGGUGAGAAGAGUGGGGGUUUUAAAAGGAGACAUAAAAUAAAACAAAUAUCCAGUAAGUGCCAGAAGGCGUUACCCCAACAUGAUGAGCAUGUUCAGACUCGGGGACACAUUAGGUAACCCUCAACAUGCCCGCUGUACAAAAGAAGGAUUACAG